rnacentral:rRNA from 1 species
AGAACGAACGCUGGCGGCAGGCUUAACACAUGCAAGUCGAGCGCCCCCGCAAGGGGAGCGGCAGACGGGUGAGUAACGCGUGGGAAUCUACCUAGCUCUACGGAACAACUCUGGGAAACUGGAGCUAAUACCGUAUACGUCCUUCGGAGAAGAUUAUCGGAGUUAGAUGAGCCCGCGUUGGAUUAGCUAGUUGGUGGGGUAAGUGGCCUACCAAGGCGACGAUCCAUAGCUGGUCUGAGAGGAUGAUCAGCCACACUGGGACUGAGACACGGCCCAGACUCCUACGGGAGGCAGCAGUGGGGAAUAUUGGACAAUGGGCGAAAGCCUGAUCCAGCCAUGCCGCGUGAGUGAUGAAGGCCCUAGGGUUGUAAAGCUCUUUCACCGGUGAAGAUAAUGACGGUAACCGGAGAAGAAGCCCCGGCUAACUUCGUGCCAGCAGCCGC